CAGCUACAAGGCUCACGGCGGAUACCUUGGCACACAAGGCGAUGAAAGGACGUGGUUACUUGCGAUAAGUCUCGGGAGCUGAACACGCUUUGAUUCCGGAUUC
rnacentral:rRNA from 1 species